CGAUGAUGAUAAUGAUGGUUAUGGUGAUAAUAACGAUGAUGGAGAUUCUAGAAAUGAUGAUUAUGUUGAUGAAAACACAUAAUCAUCUGCUAAAUUUCCAUCAUUGUUAUUAUCAUCUUCCCCAUCAUCGUCA
rnacentral:pre_miRNA from 1 species